rnacentral:rRNA from 1 species
GUUGUAUAGUCAAGUAAUUAAGUGCAUGUGGUGGAUGCCUUGGCAGUCAGAGGCGAUGAAAGACGUGAUAGCCUGCGAAAAGCUCCGGGGAGGCGGCAAAUAUCCUUUGAUCCGGAGAUGUCUGAAUGGGGGAACCCACCUACUUUAAGGUAGGUAUUGCAACAUGAAUACAUAGUGUUGCAAGGCGAACGAGGGGAAGUGAAACAUCUCAGUACCCUUAGGAAAAGAAAUCAAUUGAGAUUCCCUCAGUAGCGGCGAGCGAACGGGGAUCAGCCCAUUAAGUUAUGUGUGUUUUAGUGGAACGCUCUGGGAAGUGCGAACGUAGAGGGUGAUAUUCCCGUACACGAAAGGGCACACAUAAUGAUGACGAGUAGGGCGAGGCACGUGAAACCUUGUCUGAAUAUGGGGGGACCAUCCUCCAAGGCUAAAUACUCCUGACUGACCGAUAGUGAACCAGUACCGUGAGGGAAAGGCGAAAAGAACCCCUGUGAGGGGAGUGAAAUAGAUCCUGAAACCGCAUGCAUACAAGCAGUGGGAGCACCUUCGUGGUGUGACUGCGUACCUUUUGUAUAAUGGGUCAGCGACUUAUAUUCAGUAGCAAGGUUAACCGUAUAGGGGAGCCGUAGAGAAAUCGAGUCUUAAUAGGGCGUUUAGUUGCUGGGUAUAGACCCGAAACCAGGCGAUCUAUCCAUGAGCAGGUUGAAGGUUGGGUAACACUAACUGGAGGACCGAACCCACUGUCGUUGAAAAGCCAGGGGAUGACUUGUGGAUAGGGGUGAAAGGCUAAUCAAGCCUGGUGAUAGCUGGUUCUCCCCGAAAGCUAUUUAGGUAGCGCCUCGGACGAAUACCAUAGGGGGUAGAGCACUGUUUCGGCUAGGGGGUCAUCCCGACUUACCAAACCGAUGCAAACUCCGAAUACCUAUGAGUACUAUCCGGGAGACAGACUGCGGGUGCUAACGUCCGUAGUCAAGAGGAAAACAAUCCAGACCGCCAGCUAAGGCCCCAAAAUCAUAGUUAAGUGGGAAACGAUGUGGGAAGGCAUAGACAGCUAGGAGGUUGGCUUAGAAGCAGCCACCCUUUAAAGAAAGCGUAAUAGCUCACUAGUCGAGUCGGCCUGCGCGGAAGAUGUAACGGGGCUAAAACUAUGUGCCGAAGCUGCGGAUNNNNNNNNNNNNNNNNNNNNNNNNNNNNNNNNNNNNNNNNNNNNNNNNNNNNNNNNNNNNNNNNNNNNNNNNNNNNNNNNNNNNNNAUGCUGGAGGUAUCAGAAGUGCGAAUGCUGACGUGAGUAACGACAAAACGGGUGAAAAACCCGUUCGCCGAAAGACCAAGGGUUCCAGUCCAACGUUAAUCGGGGCUGGGUGAGUCGACCCCUAAGGCGAGGCCGAAAGGCGUAGUCGAUGGGAAAAUGGUUAAUAUUCCAUUACUUCUGUGUAAUGCGAUGAGAGGACGGAGAAGGCUAAAUCAGCCUGGCGUUGGUUGUCCAGGUGAAAGGAUGUAGGCAUGUAUCUUAGGCAAAUCCGGGGUACUCUAUGCUGAGAUCUGAUAGCAAGCUGUACUUGUACAGCGAAGUGGUUGAUGCCAUGCUUCCAGGAAAAGUCUCUAAGCUUCAGUUACACAGGAAUCGUACCCGAAACCGACACAGGUGGUCAGGUCGAGUAGACCAAGGCGCUUGAGAGAACUCUGCUGAAGGAACUAGGCAAAAUGGUACCGUAACUUCGGGAGAAGGUACGCUGUUGUUGGUGAUGGAACUCGCUUCCUGAGCUGACGACAGCCGCAGAAACCAGGCCGCUGCAACUGUUUAUUAAAAACAUAGCACUCUGCAAACACGAAAGUGGACGUAUAGGGUGUGAUGCCUGCCCGGUGCUGGAAGGUUAAUUGAUGGGGUUAGCGUAAGCGAAGCUCUUGAUCGAAGCCCCAGUAAACGGCGGCCGUAACUAUAACGGUCCUAAGGUAGCGAAAUUCCUUGUCGGGUAAGUUCCGACCUGCACGAAUGGCAUAAUGAUGGCGGCGCUGUCUCCAGCAGAGGCUCAGUGAAAUCGAAAUCGCUGUGAAGAUGCAGUGUACCCGCGGCUAGACGGAAAGACCCCGUGAACCUUUACUGCAGCUUGACACUGAACUUUGACCUUACUUGUGUAGGAUAGGUGGGAGGCUUUGAAGCUGGAACGCUAGUUCCAGUGGAGCCGUCCUUGAAAUACCACCCUGGUAAUGUUGAGGUUCUAACUCUGUCCCGUGAUCCGGGACGAGGACCGUGUCUGGUGGGUAGUUUGACUGGGGCGGUCUCCUCCUAAAGAGUAACGGAGGAGUACGAAGGUGCGCUCAGCGUGGUCGGAAAUCACGCGUAGAGUAUAAAGGCAAAAGCGCGCUUAACUGCGAGACCCACAAGUCGAGCAGGUACGAAAGUAGGUCUUAGUGAUCCGGUGGUUCUGUAUGGAAGGGCCAUCGCUCAACGGAUAAAAGGUACUCUGGGGAUAACAGGCUGAUACCGCCCAAGAGUUCAUAUCGACGGCGGUGUUUGGCACCUCGAUGUCGGCUCAUCUCAUCCUGGGGCUGAAGCAGGUCCCAAGGGUAUGGCUGUUCGCCAUUUAAAGAGGUACGCGAGCUGGGUUUAGAACGUCGUGAGACAGUUCGGUCCCUAUCUACCGUGGGCGCUGGAAAUUUGAGAGGAUCUGCUCCUAGUACGAGAGGACCAGAGUGGACGAACCUCUGGUGUACCGGUUGUGACGCCAGUCGCAUCGCCGGGUAGCUAUGUUCGGAAGGGAUAACCGCUGAAAGCAUCUAAGCGGGAAGCCUACCUCAAGAUAAGAUUUCCCUAGGACUUUAUGUCCUCUAAAGAGCCGUUCGAGACUAGGACGUUGAUAGGUUGGAUGUGGAAGCAUAGUGAUAUGUGAAGCUGACCAAUACUAAUUGCUCGUGAGGCUUGACUAUACAACACCCAAGCAGUUG